rnacentral:tRNA from 1 species
AGUAAAAUAAUCUAAAUAAAGAUGAUAAACUGUAAAUUUAUUUAUGAAUUUUAUUCUUUUACUA